rnacentral:rRNA from 1 species
CCUACGGGAGGCUGCAGUGGGGAAUAUUGCACAAUGGGGGAAACCCUGAUGCAGCGAAGCCGCGUGAGUGAAGAAGUAUUUCGGCAUGUAAAGCUCUAUCAGCAGGGAAGAAGAAAGACGGUACCUGACUAAGAAGCCCCGGCCAACUACGGGACAGCAGCCGAGGUAAUACGUAGGGGGCAGGCGUUAACCGGAUUUAAUGGGGGUAACGGGAGCGUAGGCGGUAUGGGAAGUCUGAAGGUAAAGCCCAGGGCUUAACCCUCGGACUGCUUUGGAAACUGUUAGACUAGAGUGCUGGAGGGGUAAGUGGAAUGCCUGGUGUAGCGGUGAAAUGCGUAGAUAUGAGGAGGAACACCAGUUGCGAAGGCGGCUUACUGGACAGUAACUGACGGUGAGGCUCGAAAGCGUGGGGAGCAAACAGGAGUAGAUACCCGGGUAGUC